rnacentral:rRNA from 1 species
GACAGAGGGGGCAAGCGUUGCUCGGAAUUACUGGGCGUAAAGGGCUCGUAGGCGGCCAACUAAGUCAGACGUGAAAUCCCCAGGCUCAACCUGGGAACUGCGUCUGAUACUGGAUGGCUUGAAUCCGGGAGAGGGAUGCAGAAUUCCAGGUGUAGCGGUGAAAUGCGUAGAUAUCUGGAGGAAUACCGGUGGCGAAGGCGGCAUCCUGGACCGGCAUUGACACUGAGGAGCGAAAGCCAGGGGAGCAAACGGG